CGCAAGCCUGACGGAGCAAUACCGCGUGAGGGAGGAAGGCUUUUGGGUUGUAAACCUCUUUUCUCAAGGAAGAAAAAAAUGACGGUACUUGAGGAAUCAGCAUCGGCUAACUCCGUGCCAGCAGCCGCGGUAAUACGGAGGAUGCAAGCGUUAUCCGGAAUUAUUGGGCGUAAAGCGUCCGCAGGUGGUAUAUCAAGUCUGCUGUCAAAGACUAGGGCUUAACCCUGGAGCGGCAGUGGAAACUGAUGAACUAGAGUACGGUAGGGGUAGAGGGAAUUCCCAGUGUAGCGGUGAAAUGCGUAGAGAUUGGAAAGAACACCAGUGGCGAAGGCGCUCUACUGGGCUAAAACUGACACUGAGAGACGAAAGCUAGGGUAGCG
rnacentral:rRNA from 1 species